AGAUCCCAGUGUUUAACAAAAACAUCAGAAGGGGUUGAAAAUAUUUGGAUUAUUUUUUCUUUCUAUUCAUCCUCUUAUUAUUUAGGAGCAAAACCAAACAAAAUCCUAAAGCUCUUGCACAACUGCUAAGUGUCUAAUAGAGGAUUUUAUUCCAAGGAUCCUGUCAGCAGCCUGAACACAUAUUGUGUUUUUUUUUAUCUAAGGAAACAAAUCAACUUUUGGAUUUCAGGGAUCAGCCUGCUGGAAGGAAGAUACCACUGUAACCCUUGGUGAUCUACAGAUUUACAAGGUGAAGAGAAAGGCUUUUAGCUGUGCCAGCAGGUUAAAGCAUCUAUUUCUGAUGAACCCAACAACUGCUAGAGGUUGUUGAACCCAUCAACUGAUAGAGGAUAUUGAGAAAUGAAAAGUAAGAAACAAAAAAUGGAACCAGUGUGAAACAUUACGUACAUUUUGCAAGGUGUAACAAUAACACAUCAGUAUAUUGCAGAAGAAUAAAUGCAGAACUUCAUUGUACCAAUAUCUGAACUUCCUCCAGUCAAACAGCAGAGACAAUAGACAACGAUGGAAGCAGGACAUCUGGACCAGGCCAUUGGCAACUGGUAACUCAAGGACCACAGACAUCUUUUAAUAUCUGUUCAAGUGAACGCUGUCUGACUUCAUUGCUUUGGUUUGUCACCCAAGAGUAUAAACAAUGAGAUUCAGGGUGUUCUGGCCAAGGGAGGAAGCUUUCAGUCAGCUGCCUAUCAAUCAAAAUCCAAGACUGUAUAUAUUUUAAAGAUGAAAAGCACAUAAACAGAAGGCUAAAUCAUUUCAGAGACUGGAUUCCUGUUCAAGUAGUAGUGGUGGAGUUCACGAUAUUGGCUUCUUCCUGUCGAGAACUGGACUGAAUAUUCAUUUCAAGUAAGAAGAAAGACUGAUCCCAUGUGGGAAACAUUUCUGAUUUUCUUCCAAUAUCUGAACCUGCAACUUAGGCUGUGUUACCUCUAAUUUAUCAAGACAUUCUUUGAGGGUGUACCAGAGAGCACUGAAAUGCUGCCUGUGGCUUUUCUGGUGAAAGAGUUUGGACUUCUAAUGGAACAAGAGUGUAAAUGACCCCUGUAAUCUUGUGUUGAGGCUGCAUUUAAGGCAGAGUCCAGAGUCAUUCUGCAUUUCAUGGGGAGAAGCAGUGACAUCUCAACUGUGGAUGUACCUAUUCCUUGCUUAGUCAUACUGCAACUGGAGUUAGGAAACCCUGGGUUUAGAAUGUAGACCCCACUGUAAGAUAUCCUUGUUGUAUUAGAUUUCAAUCAAGUUGCAGCUGAGAUCAGCAUAAAAGCUAUUUUUCCCGGCUCAUGGCCAUUACAUAGCCCCAAGCAAAGCUACACGUGUUCAGACCCUUACCCAGUCAUGCCAAAAUCAUCUAGGCUAACUUAGAAACUUUAGAAGAGAACUUUUUGUUAUUUUUGCUGUGGUUUAAACCCAGACAAUUUUGUGAGGAGUUCAUUUGGAAGCAAUUAGCGCACAGUUAUACCAGAGCACGUGAAGAUGUGGUCACUUCUGGUGAGGAGGAGGAGGAAGGAUUCGUGGGCAGCUUGGAAGGAACUAGGAAUGAUAGCCUUGUAGAGCAGAUCAGAUGCAGCCCAAGUAAUAGAUGUGGCCGCAGAACAGGUGGUGUGAGUAUACUGUGAGGUUCUCUGGAAAAUCCUACGCACCACAUGUUUCAAUGGCCUUGGUUGCUAUAAUGGUCAUUUCCUUCUGCUUAGCUCUUCUGGAGGUCUCUGAAUGAAGAAUCUUCCAACCCUGAGGGCCUCCUAAGCUCUGAAAGGAUGAACAAGGUAUAGGGUAAUGACAGGCAUUGGGAAUGGCCUCUGUCAGGGAUGUCUUGCUGAUGCCAUCGUUGUAUUGUACUGUGUGGCUGGGACACUGCAGAGGCCAUGAGCAGUAAGAAGGAGAUCUCCUCUUGGAGACAAUUCCAGGAGCUUCUCUGUUCCAUACAAGGCUCUUGAAAGUCAUCAAAGUAAUCAGAGAACAACAACAACCACAAAGCCAAAAUACAGAGAAAUCCCAAUAGCAGGAAACCACCUCCAUUUCUUCUCUGAUUUGUCCUGGCUUCUGAAAACAAGAGCCAGGCAUUACUUUAUGACUGCUUUCCUCAGAUUCUCAUUCCCGGGCUCCAAGGAGAAAUCCCUAAUUUGUUGAAAGGUAGACAGAAAAAUUGGAUCAGCAGCACAAGUUUAGAGUUUGCUGAGGAGAUUGUGAAACCUCAAACAUCCCCAAGAGAUUAAGAUGUUUAUGCUCAACUUCUUCAAGUGUAACUUAACUUUUGGUUACUUGCUCCUGAUUUUACUGCCAAAAAAGCAUAAGGAGAAUAAGAGGCAAAACAACUUUUGCUUGCAUUGCUUUCUGGCGACUAGUCCAAUUUGUUUAAACCUUUUUGAUUCCGCAUCAUUCUUUGGUUUGGGGCCAAGCUUUGUGUUCAGAGAAGGAGCUGAAAGUUCAAAAUGCUUCUACAGCAGCACCCUCUGAACAGCCAGUGUGGAGACAGCCACGGUGCCCAACAGAAAGUCAAGUUUAUUAAGAGAGCAGGCUGCUGAAAAGAGGGAGAACAGCAUUUCGGUGAACUCUGAUACUCUGCCAGCAGAGGAAGAUGUUAAUAGCAGAAAGAGCAGUCCUGGCCUUGGAGGCUUUAGGUACUCUUUUCCAUCUCAUAAUAAACUAGAACAGAAGAAAAUGGAAUGGACUGAAAUAAAGUCAAAUAAAAAUAGACUUAUGCGUGUGUUUCUGGAAGCAGUUUCUUAUUUUGGUGUAAUGCAGACAUAAACAGAUAGUUAUAGCAAGAAGUUAGAUUUCAGACAUGGAAGUGGCAGGUGUUCCCACUGGUACUUGUGCUAAUAAAGCCCUGAGACGUUGCAUUCUGGGGCUGCUAAUC